UACGAAGGGGGCAAGCGUUGUUCGGAAUUACUGGGCGUAAAGGGCGCGUAGGCGGCUUCUCAAGUCAGGCGUGAAAUUCCCGGGCUCAACCUGGGGGCUGCGCUUGAUACUGAUGAGCUUGAAUGCGGGAGAGGAUAGUGGAAUUCCCAGUGUAGAGGUGAAAUGCGCAGAUAUCAGGAGGAACACCAAUGGCGAAGGCAGCUCGCUGGGACGUGACUGACGCUGAGACGCGAAAGCGUGGGGAGCAAACAGG
rnacentral:rRNA from 1 species